rnacentral:rRNA from 1 species
CCUACGGGAGGCAGCAGUGAGGAAUAUUGGUCAAUGGGCGCGAGCCUGAACCAGCCAAGUCGCGUGAGGGAAGACGGUCCUAUGGAUUGUAAACCUCUUUUGUCGGGGAGCAAAAGACGCCACGCGUGGCGUUCCGAGAGUACCCGAAGAAAAAGCAUCGGCUAACUCCGUGCCAGCAGCCGCGGUAAUACGGAGGAUGCGGGCGUUAUCCGGAUUUAUUGGGUUUAAGGGGUGCGCAGGCGGAGGAUCAAGUCAGCGGGAAAAUUGAGAGGCUCAACCUCUUCGAGCCGGUGAAACUGGUUUUCUUGAGUGAGUGAGAAGUAUGCGGAAUGCGUGGUGUAGCGGUGAAAUGCAUAGAUAUCACGCAGAACUCCGAUUGCGAAGGCAGCAUACCGGCGCUCAACUGACGCUGAUGCACGAAAGUGUGGGUAUCGAACAGGAUUAGAUACCCCAGUAGUC